GCCAGCUAGAACAACUCUAAUCUUUACUGGGAGAGACGUGAGGCUGGGGAGAUGAAGUUAAUGAAGAACGUUUUUGGAGGAGGCUAUACCAGAGUUGGAGAUAGAUGUGGAUGAGCUGCUGGACAUGCCUAGUGAUGAUGACAGAGGAGCCAGAGUUAAAGAUCUCCUGGUAGACUGUUACAAACCUACUGAGGACUUUGUGUCAGAUCUGCUGGAUAAGAUACGUGGCAUGCAGAAGCUCACCACCCCCCAGAAGAAAUAACCUCAACCCUGAGUCACCCCUCCUCUUCACCCCCUGCCUCCUCCCGCCUCCCUCCCUCACUCCAACCUCACCCCACAGAAGAAAUAGGAGCUUGGCUUCCUCAGAGAUGGAGGAGGAAGAGGGAGGAGAAAAAGAGGAGAGAAGGGGCAGAGGAGUAAGAGAGGUGAUUGAAGCAGCCAAUCACAUCUAAGCAGGGUGUAUGAUGUCCUGUGAUUUUUAUUUUAAUGUUUUAUUUAGUUUACAUUUAUUUAGAUUACAUUUUUUUAAAGGUGGUUUGUAUUGUUGUUAAAUGAUCAAGCGAUCGGUCAUAUUUCUCAUGUUAAUGAGUGAACAUAGCAUACUAUAUUGUAGCUGUAAGCCAAGCCCAGGAUAUAUUCUGAGUUUUAGUAGCCAAGCCAGGAUAUAUUCUGAGUUUUAGUAGCCAAGCCCAGGUUAUAUUCUGAGUUUUAGUAGCCAAGCCCAGGAUAUAUUCUGAGUUUUAGUAGCCAAGCCCAGGACAUAUUCUGAGUUUUAGUAGCCAAGCCCAGGAUACAUUCUGAGUUUUAGUAGCCAAGCCCAGGAUACAUUCUGAGUUUUAGUAGCCAAGCCCAGGAUAUAUUCUGAGUUUUAGUAGCCAAGCCCAGGAUAUAUUCUGAGUUUUAGUAGCCAAGCCCAGGAUGUAUUCUGAGUUUUAGUAGCCAAGCCCAGGAUAUAUUCUGAGUUUUAGUAGCCAAGCCAGGAUAUAUUCUGAGUUUUAGUAGCCAAGCCCAGGAUGUAUUCUGAGUUUUAGUAGCCAAGCCCAGGAUAUAUUCUGAGUUUUAGUAGCCAAGCCCAGGAUGUAUUCUGAGUUUUAGUAGCCAAGCCCAGGAUAUAUUCUGAGUUUUAGUAGCCAAGCCCAGGAUAUAUUCUGAGUUUUAGUAGCCAAGCCCAGGAUAUAUUCUGAGUUUUAGUAGCCAAGCCAGGAUAUAUUCUGAGUUUUAGAAUGAGUCCCAAAAUGGCACGUUAUUUAUUACCUUCUAUAGUCCAUUACAUUUGACCAGGGCUCUGGUCCAAAGUAGUGGACUAGGUUUUAAGGGUGCCGUUUGGGGAUGGGAGAGACUCCUAUGUAUAGUACAGUGUGUGUGUGUGUGUGUGUGUGUGUGUGUGUGUGUGUGUGUGUAGUCUAGACCUCAGUGAAAACACAGACCGGGGGACUUGACAAAGUGACCUUUUUUUCCUCUUUAGUUCUAUCUCUUUAUCACUGUUUAUUGUUCUGUCAGAUAUUUCAUGUUCCAUAAUGUGCAGGUGUAAGGCCUUUGUCAGUGAGGACUCUUGUAGAGAGAUUUCAGGAGACGAGUAAACCAAUGAGGGAGGGAGGGAGGGACGGAGGGAGGCACUGGGUAGUGGAAAAUGUGUCGAUGUGUUCAUCCAGAUAGCCACACACACACCCAGGGAACAGCAGAAACACAGACCACAGCUGCUGCUCCUUCAUACUCUCACACAGAUGUGAACACUGGUACACACACACAUAAACACACACUGGCUCUCUCUCGUCAACACACACACGGGAAGGAGGGGGGGUAUAAUCAUUGAGAGAGGGAUAAAUGGAGAAAAAGAGGGAGAAUCAGAGGUCUUACUCUUCCUGGCUUGGCUGCCUCACAAGGCCUUAGUGUUGCCAAUCAUGCAGCUCUCUCACUCACCCCAUGUCUCUCUUUGGCCCUCACUCCUUCCUCUGUCUCCUUCCCUUUCUACUUCCAGCAAUCUACAGAUGACUCCAUCCCUCCCUCCAUCUCUCUCUCUCCUCUCCCUCCAUCUAUCCCUCUCGCUCUCUCCUUCCCUCCCUCCAUCUAUCCCUCUCGCUCUCUCCUUCCCUCCCUCCAUCUAUCCCUCUCGCUCUCUCCUUCCCUCCCUCCAUCUAUCCCUCUCGCUCCCUCCCUCCAUCCCACCAUCCCUCCCUCCUUCCCACCAUCCCACCCUCUCCCUCCUUCCCUUCCAUCUCUCUCUCCCUCCUUCCCUUCCAUCUCUCUCUCCCUCCUUCCCUUCCAUCUCUCUCUUCCUCCUUUCCUUCAUCCAGCUCUAUCCUUCCAUCCCUCCAUCUCUUGUUUAAUAACUGACGUUGCCUUAGGUCUAUAUUGAAGUUACAAACCAAAUAAAAGGAGACGUCCAUUUUUAACAACAAUUUUUAAACAAAAAAAAAUGAUCCUGUUGUUGUUUAGGAAGAGGUCAUCUAGAGGUCAUCUAGAGGUCAUCUAGAGGUCAUCUAGAGGUCAUCUAGACCUCUUUACGUUCUUUUAGAUGUGAAUAUCUAUUCUAGGUCAAUUAUUACUGUGUGUACUAUUAUAAUACCUGGUGCGCAUCCCAAAUGGAACCCUGUUCCCUAUAUAUAGGGAAUAGGGUGCCAGCCCUGGUCUAAAGUAGUGCCCUAUAUAGGGAAUAGGGUGCCAGCCCUGGUCUAUAGUAGUGCCCUAUAUAGGGAAUAGGGUGCCAGCCCUGGUCUAUAGUAGUGCCCUAUAUAGGGAAUAGGGUGCCAUUUGAGAAGCGGCCCCUGAUAACCUGUUGUUGCGUGUCAGACCUUUUUCUUUUGUUACUGUACGACAACUUUGACUGUUGAAAUGCUGUUUUAGAAGUGAUGUGUUUUUAAUAAGAAACUGAAGAACGAAAAUGUAGCGACAGGGUUUUUGUUUUACCACAAUGCUG
rnacentral:lncRNA from 1 species